rnacentral:lncRNA from 1 species
UUUGUCUAACAGAAGUGCCAGAGCUUGCAAAGCUCAGAUCCCACCACCACAAGGGACUUACAUCCAGGAGGCGCCAGGCCCCGGCAUUUUUCUGCUGCUGACACCAAGCUCAGCUUUUAAAGCUGCCUUCACUGACAGCCUUGGGCUUGAUCCUUGCAGCCUGUGGUAUUUAGGAGGACAGGGUAUACAAUCCACCAGCUUCUUUCUGUCUUUAAUUUCUAGGAAACUAUUAUAGAGCCUUCCAAAAAGGCUCACGUCUGCCUGCCAGCACCACAUUAGCAUGACUACUGCUUUGAAACACGGUAACUACAGCAGCUCAGUAUCUGUAAUGCAUCCCCUGCUGUACUGUGUAGCUUUGCACACGCCUAUGUGCCAUUAAUGAAUCAUCACGUGGGAAGUGUUUUCAUUAUCCCUUGCCUUUCUAGCACUGGGGUUUCUUGGCAAAUGUGCAGCCCAGGCCACAGCAGCUGUCUGUCUCACUCUCCUUCAUUUAGAUUAAAAAUGUUUUUUGUUGUUGUUGUUUUGAAGUGCCCAUUGAAGUGACAGGAUGGAGAAGGAUGGCUAAGUCCAAGUCCGAAUAUCUUUAUUUCAAGACUACGCUAAUAGCCUCUAAGAAUUUUUCUCUGCUGCACUUCAGAUAAGAGUGGUCAAACAUGAAUGAUAGUCGUUCGGGACAAGGGUCAUUUCAGAGCAGCCAGCGUCAGACCCAACCGAGUGAAGCCAGGAGGGACUUUAAAAUGUAAUUCAGCCAGAAGAACAGGACACGGAUCAGCAAACAAAACUCAUUAUUAUUACACCAAAACAAGCAAGGGUUGCAUGGCUUGAUUUCUGCAGUCUGUGUUUAGGCUCCAAGAUGUUGUCCCACACUUUGGAAAUUAGCCAGUAAAAGAAGGACAGAAAAUUAAUACUAAAAAAGGAAGCACUGACCCAAACAGUUUUGUUGCAUGUAUUCUGCUCUCCAGAACACUUUGAAGUCUGAAGAGAAACUUGACCGAGUCAGUUAAGAGUGCCUCCAGGUCCGUAAUUUGCGCAACCAGCAUUCAUUUUGCUGAUCGUCAUCAUUGACCCUAGAAGAAUUAUAAAGGUCAUAUUUUCUUGCAGAUAAUGUAAGUGUUGAGCAAUUUCAAAAAAUGGGAUAAACAUAAACACAUUACUAAAAAGCAAAGUUUUG